rnacentral:lncRNA from 1 species
CUGUUUUGCACUGACUACAGAGUAGCCUUGAUAAGCAAAAGCCAAGACGGCUCCUGUAGCGUUAACUUCAAGUACUGCUUCCUCUUUUCCUCUUGGAUGUAUCCGGGACAACGUCGAGCUUCCUCUUCCGUUGAAACGAAAGGUCCGGUGCCAUAGUGCUUUCCUUCAAUAACUCUCUUGGUAUGAAGCGCGCGAGGGUGCGAAGGAUGGAAGCGUUUCACGACUGUGUCUGGCGAUUAAAACUUCGACAAGUUUCUCCACAAGUG